rnacentral:rRNA from 1 species
GUCGAACGGAUUGCUCUCGUAGCUUGCUAUGAGAACAAUUAGUGGCAGACGGGUGAGUAAUGCAUAGGAAUCUACCUAGUAGUAUAGGAUAGCCACUAGAAAUGGUGGGUAAUACUGUAUAAUCCCUGCGGGGGAAAGAUUUAUCGCUACAUGAUGAGCCUAUGUUAGAUUAGCUAGUUGGUGGGGUAAUGGCCUACCAAGGCAGUGAUCUAUAGCUGGUCUGAGAGGAUGAUCAGCCACACUGGAACUGAGACACGGUCCAGACUCCUACGGGAGGCAGCAGUGGGGAAUAUUGGACAAUGGGCGCAAGCCUGAUCCAGCUAUGCCGCGUGAGUGAGGAAGGCCUUAGGGUUGUAAAACUCUUUCAGUGGGGAAGAUAAUGACGGUACCCACAGAAGAAGUCCCGGCAAACUC